AUGGUAGGAUAGAGGCCUACCAUGGUGGUAACGGGUAACGGGGUGUUAGGGCACGACACCGGAGAGGGAGCCUGAGAAACGGCUACCACAUCCAAGGAAGGCAGCAGGCGCGCAAAUUACCCAAUCCCGACACGGGGAGGUAGUGACAAUAAAUAACAAUACAGGGUUCUUUGAAUCUUGUAAUUGGAAUGAGUACAAUUUAAAUCUCUUAACGAGGAACAAUUGGAGGGCAAGUCUGGUGCCAGCAGCCGCGGUAAUUCCAGCUCCAAUAGCGUAUAUNAAGGUUGUUGCAGUUAAAAAGCUCGUAGUUGAAUUUCGGGAUCAAUACGUCGGUCGUGCUUUCGGGUACGUACUGGCGUCAUUGGUUUCUCCUUUCUGACGAACCAUGAUGUCAUUAAUUUGGUGUUAUGGGGAGUUAGGACUGUUACUUUGAAAAAAUUAGAGUGUUUAAAGCAGGCAUUAGCUUGAAUACAUUAGCAUGGAAUAAUGAAAUAGGACGUUCGAUCCUAUUUUGUUGGUUUCUAGGAUCAACGUAAUGAUUAAUAGGGAUAGUUGGGGGCAUUAGUAUUCAAUUGUCAGAGGUGAAAUUCUUGGAUUUAUUGAAGACUAACUACUGCGAAAGCAUUUGCCAAGGAUGUUUUCAUUAAUCAAGAACGAAAGUUAGGGGAUCGAAGACGAUCAGAUACCGUCGUAGUCUUAACCAUAAACUAUGCCGACUAGGGAUCGGAUGAUGUUAAUUUUUUAAUGACUCAUUCGGCGCCUUACGGGAAACCAAAGUGUUUGGG
rnacentral:rRNA from 1 species